rnacentral:rRNA from 1 species
CCUACGGGAGGCAGCAGUGGGGAAUAUUGCGCAAUGGGCGAAAGCCUGACGCAGCGACGCCGCGUGAGGGAUGAAGGUCUUCGGAUCGUAAACCUCUGUCAGCAGGGAAGAACGGUCACUGUGCUAAUCAGCAGUGAAUUGACGGUACCUGCAAAGGAAGCACCGGCUAACUCCGUGCCAGCAGCCGCGGUAAUACGGAGGGUGCGAGCGUUAAUCGGAAUUACUGGGCGUAAGGCGCUCGUAGGCGGUAUGUCAAGUCAAGGGUGAAAUCCCCGGGCUCAACGUGGGAACUGCCUUUGAAACUGGCAAACUGGAGUGUGUGAGAGGAUAGUGGAAUUCCAGGUGUAGCAGUGAAAUGCGUAGAUAUCUGGAGGAACAUCAGUGGCGAAGGCGACUAUCUGGCACAUAACUGACGCUGAGGAGCGAAAGCGUGGGUAGCAAACAGGAUUAGAUACCCCAGUAGUC